GACGAACGCUGGCGGCGUGCCUAAUACAUGCAAGUAGAACGCUGAAGGAGGAGCUUGCUCUUCUGGAUGAGUUGCGAACGGGUGAGUAACGCGUAGGUAACCUGCCUGGUAGUGGGGGAUAACUAUUGGAAACGAUAGCUAAUACCGCAUAAUAACAGUUGUUGCAUGACAACUGUUUGAAAGGUGCAAUUGCAUCACUACCAGAUGGACCUGCGUUGUAUUAGCUAGUUGGUGGGGUAACGGCUCACCAAGGCGACGAUACAUAGCCGACCUGAGAGGGGGAUCGGCCACACUGGGACUGAGACACGGCCCAGACUCCUACGGGAGGCAGCAGUAGGGAAUCUUCGGCAAUGGACGAAAGUCUGACCGAGCAACGCCGCGUGAGUGAAGAAGGUUUUCGGAUCGUAAAGCUCUGUUGUAAGAGAAGAACGAGUGUGAGAGUGGAAAGUUCACACUGUGACGGUAUCUUACCAGAAAGGGACGGCUAACUACGU
rnacentral:rRNA from 1 species